rnacentral:tRNA from 1 species
GUGGCUGUGGCUCAGUGGCAGAGCACUUGCCUAGCAUGUGUGAAGCACUGGGUUCGAUCCUCAGCACCACA